ensembl:snRNA U2 U2 spliceosomal RNA
AUUGCUUCUUGGCCUUUUGGCUAAGAUCAAGUGUAGUAUCUGUUCUCAUCAAUUUAAAAAUGGCAAUAUAAAUAGACCCAUAGUAGACCCAGAUAAUGGUGUUAUCAGAAAAGGACUUUAAGUAAUUUAAUAUGUUCAAAGAAUU